CUCGUAGGCGGCCAACUAAGUCAGACGUGAAAUCCCUCGGCUUAACCGGGGAACUGCGUCUGAUACUGGAUGGCUGGAGUUUGGGAGAGGGAUGCGGAAUUCCAGGUGUAGCGGUGAAAUGCGUAGAUAUCUGGAGGAACACCGGUGGCGAAGGCGGCAUCCUGGACCAAUACUGACGCUGAGGAGCGAAAGCCAGGGGAGCAAACG
rnacentral:rRNA from 1 species